rnacentral:rRNA from 1 species
UACGAGGGGAGCAAGCGUUGUUCGGAUUUACUGGGCGUAAAGGGCGCGUAGGCGGUCUUGACAGGUCACUUGUGAAAUCUCCGGGCUUAACUCGGAACGGUCAAGUGAUACUGUCGGACUAGAGUACAGAAGGGGCAACUGGAAUUCUCGGUGUAGCGGUGAAAUGCGUAGAUAUCGAGAGGAACACCUGCGGCGAAGGCGGGUUGCUGGGCUGAUACUGACGCUGAUGCGCGAAAGCCAGGGGAGCGAACGGG